rnacentral:rRNA from 1 species
CCUACGGGUGGCAGCAGUGAUGAAUAUUGGACAAUGGGCGCGAGCCUGAACCAGCCAAGUAGCGUGAAGGAUGACUGCCUUACGGGUUGUAAACUUCUUUUAUAAAGGAAUAAAGUGAGGCGCGUGUGCCUUUUUGUAUGUACUGUAUGAAUCAAGAUCGGCUAACCCGGUGACAGCAGCCGCGGUAAUACGGAGGUUCAGUGCGUUACCCGGAUUGAAUGGGUUGAAAGGGAGCGUAGAUGGGUUGUUAAGUCAGUUGUGAGAGUUUUCGGCUUAACCGUACAAGUGCAAUUGAUACUGGCAGCCUUGAGUACAGUAGAGGUAGGCGGAACUCGUGGUGUAGCGGUGAAAUGCGUAGAUAUCUCGAAGAACUCCGAUUGCGAAGGCAGCCCUCUAAACUGCCACUGACACUGAUGCUCGAAAGCGUGGGUAGCAAACAGGAUUAGAUACCCCGGUAGUC